GCAGGUGUAACUCGGUGAGUUAAGAGGAGGCCACAUGGCCCAGCAGGGUGGAUCCCCAAGGCCAACAUGACCGGUGUCCCUACAGGAGGACGGGCAUGUGCAAUCAGGAGGCCGUGUGCCGUGGGGGCAGGGACUUGGAGCCGGGCCACUGCAAGCAGAGGACCCCCUGGGUGGUGGAAGCCGGAAAGGAGGUACUCGACCAAGAAGGGCUGUCUCCUGGAACCCAGAGAGAGCACAGCCCCUCCAACACCUUGGGUCAGACUUCUGUCCCCAGCACCGAGAGAGCGGACUCCUGGGUCUUAGGCCUCAGUUUGUGGCAAUGUGAUUCACCAGCCAGAGAACCCCCUCAGAGACCCAAACAGCAAGUUCCCACCACGAAGGACCAAGGACCCCCGGCACGGGCCUCGGGGUCUGCUGGUGAAGAACGCCGGCAGCCCCGGACCCCGUGGCCGCAGCCCCCUUUCUGGUUUCCGGGGCUCAGUGAUGUCCUCGGCUCUCCUGCCCACACCCUGCCCCAGGGUCCUGGCUUGUGAAGAGGAGAGACUCUCCUCCAACCAGGGCCCGUGUUUCUGCCUGGAGAAGAGCAUCUGAAACCCGCCUUCUCAGCAGGUGGACAGCUGGUGGGGAGCCUGGAGCUGUGGGGGGGGGCUCCAGGUCAUGGACAUGGCCCAGCCACGGCCUGACCUCCUUUCCUCCCACAUCUGCUUCCUCCUCUUGCGGGGUGCCAGAGGGCCCUCGUCCCACAGCCUCAGAAGGGACCACCAUGCACAGAGAUCAGACCUGUCACGUCACCGGCAGGGGUCCUGGCUAGGCAGCAGGAAGUGCCGCUGAGUGCUUUCCCGGGCAGGGGCAGGGCUGCACUGCCUGGGCCAGCAAAGGCUGACCCACGUGGAGGCCACGCCGUCUGUCCCUGCUUCACCGGCCAGCUGAAGAGCCUCUUCGUCCUCUCCUGCGGCUGGGUAAACGGUUGGCCGCCUGGGAAGCCCAGCCCCACUCCUGGAAACAGUCCCCAGGCUGAGACCCCAGGCCCUGCCGGGGCUGCAGCCUGGGUCUAGGCCAGGGGCCACCAGGCCAGGGGGCCCAGGUGAGCAGGGCCAUCCUGCCAGGGCAGGGACGGGGCAGGCCUAGAAGCAGGAGAGAUCUCCUGGAGGACCAGUCCCAGAGAGGGGGCCGUGGAGGCAGCCCAGGAGGGCAGGGUGGAGGUGGG
rnacentral:lncRNA from 1 species